rnacentral:lncRNA from 1 species
GAGCUAUAGAAAAAGAACACUUCUAAACAAAUCUAACAGAAUAUUUUAUGGAAACUUUUGGGGUAGAAAAUUAUGUGUAUAAUAGUAAUAUAAAAUAGACUUUGAACUAUUACUUUCUCUGUCCUAGGUUUAAAUUAGAUUCAGCCGAAUCCUUUCUCUGGAUGGCUAAGAACAAUUAUCAUAAAUAAACCAAUGAAGCCUAAACAUCUGUUUAAAAGAUUGUGAAGUUUAAAAGAAGGUGAAGCACGUUUCAUGGAUGUAAAUGUUACAAAUCCAGUUAUGGCGACUACAUGGAGCUGACAAGUUCCUGCUUGUGGGUCUCAAGCUACAAUUUUGCUAUUUUCAUAUUCUGACCAUUGAAGCCCAGAUCUGUCUUCACCUGCAUCUUUACUCAGUACCUUCGACCAGGAGGAGGCUGUCAAAAA